AUUGAACGCUGGCGGCAGGCCUAACACAUGCAAGUCGAACGAGUGGCGGACGGGUGAGUAAUGUCUGGGAAACUGCCCGAUGGAGGGGGAUAACUACUGGAAACGGUAGCUAAUACCGCAUACCAUCAGAUGUGCCCAGAUGGGAUUAGCUAGUUGGUGGGGUAACGGCUCACCAAGGCGACGAUCCCUAGCUGGUCUGAGAGGAUGACAACCCACACGGGAACUUAGCCACGGUCCAUACUCCUACGGGAGGCAGCAGUGGGGAAUAGUGCACAAUGGGCGCAAGCCUGAUGCAGUCAUGCCGCGUGUAUGAAGAAGGCCUUCGGGUUGUAAAGUACUUUCAGCGGGGAGGCGUUACCCGCAGAAGAAGCACCGGCUAACUCCGUGCCAGCAGCCGCGGUAAUUC
rnacentral:rRNA from 1 species